rnacentral:rRNA from 1 species
UGGGGAAUCUUCCGCAAUGGACGAAAGUCUGACGGAGCAACGCCGCGUGAGUGAUGACGGCCUUCGGGUUGUAAAGCUCUGUUAAUCGGGACGAAAGGCCUUCUUGCGAAUAGUGAGAAGGAUUGACGGUACCGGAAUAGAAAGCCACGGCUAACUACGUGCCAGCAGCCGCGGUAAUACGUAGGUGGCAAGCGUUGUCCGGAAUUAUUGGGCGUAAAGCGCGCGCAGGCGGAUCAGUCAGUCUGUCUUAAAAGUUCGGGGCUUAACCCCGUGAUGGGAUGGAAACUGCUGAUCUAGAGUAUCGGAGAGGAAAGUGGAAUUCCUAGUGUAGCGGUGAAAUGCGUAGAUAUUAGGAAGAACACCAGUGGCGAAGGCGACUUUCUGGACGAAAACUGACGCUGAGGCGCGAAAGCCAGGGGAGCGAACGGGAUUAGAUACCCCGGUAGUCCUGGCCGUAAACGAUGGGUACUAGGUGUAGGAGGUAUCGACCCCUUCUGUGCCGGAGUUAACGCAAUAAGUACCCCGCCUGGGGAGUACGACCGCAAGGUUG